rnacentral:lncRNA from 1 species
GGGAGAAAGAGUAUUUAAGGGCGACUGAAAUAAGUGGGAGUAGGGUAGGUUGCUUAGUUUAAUUAUAGGAAGGUAGAUUAUGACCGUUGAUUUGUGUGAUCAACGAUUGAGAUUAGAGAGGGUAGGUGGAAAAUGGGUCUGGGUCGGUUGGAACAGGGUUAUGGGUCAGGGUAAUUAGGUUCAAAUAUGCUAAACUUGAAAUAAACAGGG